rnacentral:rRNA from 1 species
UGGGGGAUAUUGCACAAUGGGCGAAAGCCUGAUGCAGCGACGCCGCGUGGGGGAUGAAGGCCUUCGGGUUGUAAACUUCUUUUGCUUUGAACAAGGCAUGCUUUUGGGGUGUGUUGAGUGUAGGGGUGGAUUAGCGCCGGCUAACUACGUGCCAGCAGUCGCGGUAAUACGUAGGGCGAGAGCGUUGUCCGGAAUUAUUGGGCGUAAUGGGCUUGUAGGUGGCUGGUUGCGUCUGUCGUGAAAGCUCAUGGCUUAACUGUGGGUUUGCGGUGGGUACGGGCUGGCUUGAGUGCAGUAGGGGAGGCUGGAAUUCCUGGUGUAGCGGUGGAAUGCGCAGUUAUCAGGAGGAAUGCCGGUGGCGAAGGCGGGUCUCUGGGCUGUUACUGACGCUGAGGAGCGAAAGCGUCGGGAGCGAACAGG